AGUUCAGUCCUGCCUCUGUCUCCCAAAGGUUUAGUUAGGACUAUAGCUGGACAACACUAUGCCCAGCAAGUUUUAAAUCAAAGUUUGAGUUGAAAAUUGGGAACAUUUACAGCGAUGUUUGCAAAUCUGUAUAUUUUUAUGAGUUGGUAAAAAUCCCAUCAUACAUAGUGAAAAUGCAUUUUCUUUUAAUUAUGUUAAAAUUGUGCCUUCACAGUCAGCUUAAAAACAUAGCGUUUGUGUAGUUUCCAAACGAAUUAUAUACAUUAUAUUUUUCUAAAAAAGAAAAAAAAAAGCUACCCUGACCUUCCUUUGUACUUUUCUUAAUGAAAUAUUUCUCCAAAUGCUAAGGUUAGAUCAUGUGUAAGUGUCAAAGCAAGUUUCUGAGUAUAUUAAAGAUUUAUGUAACUUUUAACCCCUCUACAGAAAUAAAUACUUAAGACUGCAAGAAGACAGUUCAUGUAUAUGGGUGUUUUGCCUGUAUGCAUCUGUCUGUACACCACAUUUGUGCCUGGUACCUGGUGCCUGGUGCCAAUGGAGACCAGAGGAGGGUGUUGGAUUCCCUGGGACUGGAGUUACAGAUGGUUGUCAGCUGCCCUUUGUGUUCUGGGAAUCAAACCCAGGUCCUCAGAAAGAGCAGCAAGUGCUCCUAACUGCUGAGCCAUCUCUUCAUCCUUGUCGUUUAAGCUUUUAAAAACGUGUAACCCUUUUUAAACCUGAGAACCUAAAUUCUUUCAUCUGUGUACACAUGCUACUAGACUGUUUUUUAGGUCGAAGGAAACAUAGAAGUAGUUGUUAGAAGGACACCAGAACUGAAUCUAGUUCUUAUCUAGUUCCUAUGGUUUACUUGAAGAUACAGAUUAAACUUCUGUAUUAAACUUCAGUUUGUUUUUUUCUGAUCUUUGAAAUUUGAUUCCAUUAAGUAAGAUUUCUUCUUUUAAAUGUUUUUCUUAACUGACUAGAUAGUAUAUGUUUAACUUAUUGUUUGUCUUGACUAUCCUGACAAUACUUAUAUCAUCUUCACCCUGCUUUCCAGUCCUUCUUGUGUAAGUGAGGUCUGGUAACCACAAGUGUUCUGAAGUCCAUCUCUUUUCUCACCUCUAAAAUGAGUGAGUGCUCCACUCAUUUAACCACUUUGCUAGCUUGCAACCUGAAAAAAAAAUUUCCUUCUGCAGGGCGUGGUGGCGCACGCCUUUGAUCCCAGCACUCGGGAGGCAGAGGCAGGCGGAUUUCUGAGUUUGGGGCCAGCCUGGUCUACAGAGUGAGUUCCAGGACAGCCAGAGCUACACAGAGAAACCCUGCCUCAAAAACAAAACAAAACAAAACAAACAAACAAAGAAACAAAUACACACAGAUAUAUUUCCGUCUGAUUCUUUGCAAAAUCUCAGGUGUUUUUCUAGAAAUUAGAGGUGAAAUUAUCUUCAAGUUUUGUUUUGUUUUUUUAAAAUUUCUCUAAGAAAGUACCAGGUGACAAGUCAUCGCAGAAGCGCAGGCUUUUGUGUUUCUGUAUCAACAUUGCACAGGAGACGUGAGCAGUCCAGUCGUUCAUGUUAAGGCAAAGCCAGCUUCUUCAAAGUAAAACAGGCAUACUGAAAAAUGGGUUAGACCUUUGAUAUUUGAACUAAAGUUCACAUUAAAUGCUUUUUUGUUUAAUUGUUAACUUUUGCUGAGUAGAUGACAAAGAAGCGGGACUGCUUCGUUCUUCUAGGUACCGGAUGGGGUCUUUUGUUUACAGUAAAGCUAUCUGGCAAGAGAUAAGUGCCAUUUACAAUUCUAACUGUACUUUCACAUCAACUGUCAAUAAAAUGCCUGCCAAAAUACAGCUGUUUUAGUAACAUCUGCAUUCCCAUUCAAGUCGCGAUAUUCAAAAGCAACAGUUACAAUUUUAUGGAGACUAUUAAAGAAAAUUAUUCUUUUUAAAACCACAUUGAAAUAAGAUGAUAUCUCAAAAUAAUUUGGUUUUAUUAAUUUGUAGCUAAUAUCUUAAUUUCCUAAUCUAAACUUUUGCUCCAGAAAACCAUGAACACAUCUACAAAUCUGAAUUCCAACUUAUUGGAAACAUUUUCUAUUUUACCCAGCCAUCAUAUUGUCUUCUAUAUGGUCUGGAGUGUAUCAGUGUUAGAGUACUUGCCUACCAUGUUCAAAGUGCCUUCCCCAGCACUGCCAAUGAAACAACUUACUAAGUAGCUAUAAAUAACAAAAGAAUUUCCUAGAGUCUCUCUACCCUCACUGCCAAUUUCAUGUUUACUUAAACAGCCCUCCUAGCAACAUAGUUGAAAAUACCUCCAUAGAGAAAAUAAAAGACAGAAAUACUUUGUCUUGGAAAUCAAAACUAAUAGAUACCAGAGUUGAAAAUUUGUCUCUGAAAAUUUGUCAUCUCUUCCUCUCUUGCUAACCUAACACCAAUACUUUUUAAGAGGUAGAUAAGUUGGAUUUCUUUCCCCUUAAACAUGCUUUUAAAACAAAAUAUAUUGUAUUUAUUAGUAUUUACU
rnacentral:lncRNA from 1 species